GACGAACGCUGGCGGCGCGCUUAACACAUGCAAGUCGAGCGAUGAAACUUUAACAGAACCCUUCGGGGCGAAGAUAAAGUGGAUUAGCGGCGGACGGGUGAGUAACACGUGAGUAACCUGCCUUAGACGUUGGGAUAGCCUCGGGAAACCGGGAUUAAUACCAAAUAAAAUCAUAAUGACACAUGUCAUAACGAUCAAAACUCCGGUGGUCUAAGAUGGACUCGCGUCCCAUUAGCUAGUUGGUAGAGUAAAAGCCUACCAAGGCGACGAUGGGUAGCCGGCCUGAGAGGGUGAACGGCCACAUUGGAACUGAGAAACGGUCCAAACUCCUACGGGAGGCAGCAGUGGGGAAUAUUGCACAAUGGAGGGAACUCUGAUGCAGCGACGCCGCGUGAACGAAGAAGGCUUUCGAGUCGUAAAGUUCUUUUAUAUGGGAAGAUAAUGACGGUACCAUAAGAAAAAGCCCCGGCUAACUACGUG
rnacentral:rRNA from 1 species